AAAUGUCGGUCCGUGAUGUAAAAAUUGAGCGAGGGACCUUGGUGGCAUUGGGAGCUUUGCAGAAGGUGCAGUUUGGAUUCUGCUCUUCCCAGGAUGGCAGCUCGGUCUUGGCCGGCUGAGUCUUCGCUGCUGGCCGUGGAGGCGGCUGGAGCAGCUCUUUUCCAAGAGGUCACUUCACCAAGAUGUCCAGUGAUAGGCAGAGGUCCGACGAUGAGAGCCCCAGCACCAGCAGUGGCAGUUCAGAUGCGGACCAGAGAGACCCAGCCGCUCCAGAGCCUGAGGAACAAGAAGAAAGAAAACCUUCUGCCACCCAGCAGAAGAAGAACACCAAACUCUCUAGCAAAACCACUGCUAAGUUAUCCACUAGUGCUAAAAGAAUUCAGAAGGAGCUAGCUGAAAUAACCCUUGAUCCUCCUCCUAAUUGUAGAAGAGACAAAGAGGGGAGACUGUCUCAUGAAGACAGAGACUUAAAGGGAGAAUGCCACCCAACAAUGAAAAAUGGGAUGGGAGUUACGCAGCUGGAAGUCAAGGCCUGCCCAGAAUUACUGGCAGCAACAGUAGCUGAGGAAAAAAACAUGGAACAGGGGGCCAGUAUUGUAGCAGUGCUGGGCCUAAAGGAGAUAACAUUUAUGAGUGGAGAUCAACUAUACUUGGUCCACCAGGUUCUGUAUAUGAAGGUGGUGUGUUUUUUCUGGAUAUCACAUUUUCAUCAGAUUAUCCAUUUAAACCACCAAAGGUUACUUUCCGCACCAGAAUCUAUCACUGCAACAUCAACAGUCAGGGAGUCAUCUGUUUGGACAUCCUUAAAGACAACUGGAGUCCUGCUUUGACUAUUUCAAAGGUUUUGCUGUCUAUUUGUUCCCUUUUGACAGACUGCAACCCUGCGGAUCCUCUGGUUGGAAGCAUAGCCACUCAGUAUUUGACCAACAGAGCAGAACAUGACAGGAUAGCCAGACAGUGGACCAAGAGAUACGCAACAUAAUUCACAUAAUUUGUAUGCAGUGUGAAGGAGCAGAAGGCAUCUUCUCACUGUGCUGCAAAUCUUUAUAGCCUUUACAAUACGGACUUCUGUGUAUAUGUUAUACUGAUUCUACUCUCUGCUUUUAUCCUUUGGAGACUGGGAGACUCCCCAAAAAGGUAAAUGCUCUCAAGAGUAGAACUUUGUAGCUGUAGAUUAGUUAUGUUUAAAAUGCCUACUUGCAAGUCUUGCUUCUUUGGGAUAUCAAAAUGUAUUUUGUGAUGUACUAAGGAUACUGGUCCUGAAGUCUACCAAAUAUUAUAGUGCAUUUUAGCCUAAUUCAUUAUCUGUAUGAAGUUAUAAAAGUAGCUGUAGAUGACUAGGAAUUAUGUCAUUUGUAUUAAACCCAGAUCUAUUUCUGAGUAUGUGGUUCAUGCUGUUGUGAAAAAUGUUUUACCUUUUACCUUUGUCAGUUUGUAAUGAGAGGAUUUCCUUUUACCCUUUGUAGCUCAGAGAGCACCUGAUGUAUCAUCUCAAACACAAUAAACAUGCUCCUGAA